AGAGUUUGAUCCUGGCUCAGAUUGAACGCUGGCGGAAUGCUUUACACAUGCAAGUCGAACGGCAGCACGGGGCAACCUGGUGGCGAGUGGCGAACGGGUGAGUAAUAUAUCGGAACGUGCCCAAUCGUGGGGGAUAACGUAGCGAAAGUUACGCUAAUACCGCAUACGAUCUACGGAUGAAAGCGGGGGAUCGCAAGACCUCGCGCGAAUGGAGCGGCCGAUAUCAGAUUAGGUAGUUGGUGGGGUAAAGGCUCACCAAGCCAACGAUCUGUAGCUGGUCUGAGGGGAUGACCAGCCACACUGGAACUGAGACACGGUCCAGACUCCUACGGGAGGCAGCAGUGGGGAAUUUUGGACAAUGGGCGCAAGCCUGAUCCAGCCAUUCCGCGUGCAGGAUGAAGGCCUUCGGGUUGUAAACUGCUUUUGUACGGAACGAAACGGCGAGCUUUAAUACAGUUUGCUAAUGACGGUACCGUAAGAAUAAGCACCGGCUAACUACGUGCCAGCAGCCGCGGUAAUACGUAGGGUGCAAGCGUUAAUCGGAAUUACUGGGCGUAAAGCGUGCGCAGGCGGUUAUAUAAGACAGAUGUGAAAUCCCCGGGCUCAACCUGGGAACUGCAUUUGUGACUGUAUAGCUAGAGUACGGCAGAGGGGGAUGGAAUUCCGCGUGUAGCAGUGAAAUGCGUAGAUAUGCGGAGGAACACCGAUGGCGAAGGCAAUCCCCUGGGCCUGUACUGACGCUCAUGCACGAAAGCGUGGGGAGCAAACAGGAUUAGAUACCCUGGUAGUCCACGCCCUAAACGAUGUCAACUGGUUGUUGGGUCUUCACUGACUCAGUAACGAAGCUAACGCGUGAAGUUGACCGCCUGGGGAGUACGGCCGCAAGGUUGAAACUCAAAGGAAUUGACGGAGACCCGCACAAGCGGUGGAUGAUGUGGUUUAAUUCGAUGUAACGCGAAAAACCUUACCCACCUUUGACAUGUACGGAAUCCUUUAGAGAUAGAGGAGUGCUCGAAAGAGAGCCGUAACACAGGUGCUGCAUGGCUGUCGUCAGCUCGUGUCGUGAGAUGUUGGGUUAAGUCCCGCAACGAGCGCAACCCUUGUCAUUAGUUGCUACAUUCAGUUGGGCCCUCUAAUGAGACUGCCGGUGACAAACCGGAGGAAGGUGGGGAUGACGUCAAGUCCUCAUGGCCCUUAUAGGUGGGGCUACACACGUCAUACAAUGGCUGGUACAGAGGGUUGCCAACCCGCGAGGGGGAGCUAAUCCCAUAAAACCAGUCGUAGUCCGGAUCGCAGUCUGCAACUCGACUGCGUGAAGUCGGAAUCGCUAGUAAUCGCGGAUCAGAAUGUCGCGGUGAAUACGUUCCCGGGUCUUGUACACACCGCCCGUCACACCAUGGGAGCGGGUUCUGCCAGAAGUAGUUAGCCUAACCGCAAGGAGGGCGAUUACCACGGCAGG
rnacentral:rRNA from 1 species